rnacentral:rRNA from 1 species
CGGGACACGUGGUAUCCUGUCUGAAUAUGGGGGGACCAUCCUCCAAGGCUAAAUACUCCUGACUGACCGAUAGUGAACCAGUACCGUGAGGGAAAGGCGAAAAGAACCCCGGCGAGGGGAGUGAAAAAGAACCUGAAACCGUGUACGUACAAGCAGUGGGAGCACAGAGCAAUCUGUGUGACUGCGUACCUUUUGUAUAAUGGGUCAGCGACUUAUAUUCUGUAGCAAGGUUAACCGAAUAGGGGAGCCGAAGGGAAACCGAGUCUUAACUGGGCGUUAAGUUGCAGGGUAUAGACCCGAAACCCGGUGAUCUAGCCAUGGGCAGGUUGAAGGUUGGGUAACACUAACUGGAGGACCGAACCGACUAAUGUUGAAAAAUUAGCGGAUGACUUGUGGCUGGGGGUGAAAGGCCAAUCAAACCGGGAGAUAGCUGGUUCUCCCCGAAAGCUAUUUAGGUAGCGCCUCGUGAAUUCAUCUCCGGGGGUAGAGCACUGUUUCGGCAAGGGGGUCAUCCCGACUUACCAACCCGAUGCAAACUGCGAAUACCGGAGAAUGUUAUCACGGGAGACACACGGCGGGUGCUAACGUCCGUCGUGAAGAGGGAAACAACCCAGACCGCCAGCUAAGGUCCCAAAGUCAUGGUUAAGUGGGAAACGAUGUGGGAAGGCCCAGACAGCCAGGAUGUUGGCUUAGAAGCAGCCAUCAUUUAAAGAAAGCGUAAUAGCUCACUGGUCGAGUCGGCCUGCGCGGAAGAUGUAACGGGGCUAAACCAUGCACCGAAGCUGCGGCAGCGACACUAUGUGUUGUUGGGUAGGGGAGCGUUCUGUAAGCCUGUGAAGGUGUGCUGUGAGGCAUGCUGGAGGUAUCAGAAGUGCGAAUGCUGACAUAAGUAACGAUAAAGCGGGUGAAAAGCCCGCUCGCCGGAAGACCAAGGGUUCCUGUCCAACGUUAAUCGGGGCAGGGUGAGUCGACCCCUAAGGCGAGGCCGAAAGGCGUAGUCGAUGGGAAACAGGUUAAUAUUCCUGUACUUGGUGUUACUGCGAAGGGGGGACGGAGAAGGCUAUGUUGGCCGGGCGACGGUUGUCCCGGUUUAAGCGUGUAGGCUGGUUUUCCAGGCAAAUCCGGAAAAUCAAGGCUGAGGCGUGAUGACGAGGCACUACGGUGCUGAAGCAACAAAUGCCCUGCUUCCAGGAAAAGCCUCUAAGCAUCAGGUAACAUCAAAUCGUACCCCAAACCGACACAGGUGGUCAGGUAGAGAAUACCAAGGCGCUUGAGAGAACUCGGGUGAAGGAACUAGGCAAAAUGGUGCCGUAACUUCGGGAGAAGGCACGCUGAUAUGUAGGUGAAGCGACUUGCUCGUGGAGCUGAAAUCAGUCGAAGAUACCAGCUGGCUGCAACUGUUUAUUAAAAACACAGCACUGUGCAAACACGAAAGUGGACGUAUACGGUGUGACGCCUGCCCGGUGCCGGAAGGUUAAUUGAUGGGGUCAGCGCAAGCGAAGCUCUUGAUCGAAGCCCCGGUAAACGGCGGCCGUAACUAUAACGGUCCUAAGGUAGCGAAAUUCCUUGUCGGGUAAGUUCCGACCUGCACGAAUGGCGUAAUGAUGGCCAGGCUGUCUCCACCCGAGACUCAGUGAAAUUGAACUCGCUGUGAAGAUGCAGUGUACCCGCGGCAAGACGGAAAGACCCCGUGAACCUUUACUAUAGCUUGACACUGAACAUUGAGCCUUGAUGUGUAGGAUAGGUGGGAGGCUUUGAAGUGUGGACGCCAGUCUGCAUGGAGCCGACCUUGAAAUACCACCCUUUAAUGUUUGAUGUUCUAACGUUGACCCGUAAUCCGGGUUGCGGACAGUGUCUGGUGGGUAGUUUGACUGGGGCGGUCUCCUCCUAAAGAGUAACGGAGGAGCACGAAGGUUGGCUAAUCCUGGUCGGACAUCAGGAGGUUAGUGCAAUGGCAUAAGCCAGCUUGACUGCGAGCGUGACGGCGCGAGCAGGUGCGAAAGCAGGUCAUAGUGAUCCGGUGGUUCUGAAUGGAAGGGCCAUCGCUCAACGGAUAAAAGGUACUCCGGGGAUAACAGGCUGAUACCGCCCAAGAGUUCAUAUCGACGGCGGUGUUUGGCACCUCGAUGUCGGCUCAUCACAUCCUGGGGCUGAAGUAGGUCCCAAGGGUAUGGCUGUUCGCCAUUUAAAGUGGUACGCGAGCUGGGUUUAGAACGUCGUGAGACAGUUCGGUCCCUAUCUGCCGUGGGCGCUGGAGAACUGAGGGGGGCUGCUCCUAGUACGAGAGGACCGGAGUGGACGCAUCACUGGUGUUCGGGUUGUCAUGCCAAUGGCACUGCCCGGUAGCUAAAUGCGGAAGAGAUAAGUGCUGAAAGCAUCUAAGCACGAAACUUGCCCCGAGAUGAGUUCUCCCUGACUCCUUGAGAGUCCUGAAGGAACGUUGAAGACGACGACGUUGAUAGGCCGGGUGUGUAAGCGCAGCGAUGCGUUGAGCUAACCGGUACUAAUGAACCGUGAGG